rnacentral:rRNA from 1 species
AACAGGAUUAGAUACCCUGGUAGUCCACGCUGUAAACGAUGUCGACUUGGAGGUUGUGCCCUUGAGGCGUGGCUUCCGGAGCUAACGCGUUAAGUCGACCGCCUGGGGAGUACGGCCGCAAGGUUAAAACUCAAAUGAAUUGACGGGGGCCCGCACAAGCGGUGGAGCAUGUGGUUUAAUUCGAUGCAACGCGAAGAACCUUACCUACUCUUGACAUCCAGAGAAUUCGCUAGAGAUAGCUUAGUGCCUUCGGGAGCUCUGAGACAGGUGCUGCAUGGCUGUCGUCAGCUCGUGUUGUGAAAUGUUGGGUUAAGUCCCGCAACGAGCGCAACCCUUAUCCUUUGUUGCCAGCACAUAAUGGUGGGAACUCAAAGGAGACUGCCGGUGAUAAACCGGAGGAAGGUGGGGAUGACGUCAAGUCAUCAUGGCCCUUACGAGUAGGGCUACACACGUGCUACAAUGGCGUAUACAAAGAGAAGCGAACUCGCGAGAGCAAGCGGACCUCAUAAAGUACGUCGUAGUCCGGAUCGGAGUCUGCAACUCGACUCCGUGAAGUCGGAAUCGCUAGUAAUCGUAGAUCAGAAUGCUACGGUGAAUACGUUCCCGGGCCUUGUACACACCGCCCGUCACACCAUGGGAGUGGGUUGCAAAAGAAGUAGGUAGCUUAACCUUCGGGAGGGCGCUUACCACUUUGUGAUUCAUGACUGGGGUGAAGUCGUAACAAGGUAACC